GAUGAACGCUGGCGGCGUGCCUAAUACAUGCAAGUCGAGCGAACGGACGAGAAGCUUGCUUUUCUGAUGUUAGCGGCGGACGGGUGAGUAACACGUGGAUAACCUACCUAUAAGACUGGGAUAACUUCGGGAAACCGGAGCUAAUACCGGAUAAUAUUUUGAACCGCAUGGUUCAAAAGUGAAAGACGGUCUUGCUGUCACUUAUAGAUGGAUCCGCGCUGCAUUAGCUAGUUGGUAAGGUAACGGCUUACCAAGGCAACGAUGCAUAGCCGACCUGAGAGGGUGAUCGGCCACACUGGAACUGAGACACGGUCCAGACUCCUACGGGAGGCAGCAGUAGGGAAUCUUCCGCAAUGGGCGAAAGCCUGACGGAGCAACGCCGCGUGAGUGAUGAAGGUCUUCGGAUCGUAAAACUCUGUUAUUAGGGAAGAACAUAUGUGUAAGUAACUGUGCACAUCUUGACGGUACCUAAUCAGAAAGCCACGGCUAACUACGUGCCAGCAGCCGCGGUAAUACGUAGGUGGCAAGCGUUAUCCGGAAUUAUUGGGCGUAAAGCGCGCGUAGGCGGUUUUUUAAGUCUGAUGUGAAAGCCCACGGCUCAACCGUGGAGGGUCAUUGGAAACUGGAAAACUUGAGUGCAGAAGAGGAAAGUGGAAUUCCAUGUGUAGCGGUGAAAUGCGCAGAGAUAUGGAGGAACACCAGUGGCGAAGGCGACUUUCUGGUCUGUAACUGACGCUGAUGUGCGAAAGCGUGGGGAUCAAACAGGAUUAGAUACCCUGGUAGUCCACGCCGUAAACGAUGAGUGCUAAGUGUUAGGGGGUUUCCGCCCCUUAGUGCUGCAGCUAACGCAUUAAGCACUCCGCCUGGGGAGUACGACCGCAAGGUUGAAACUCAAAGGAAUUGACGGGGACCCGCACAAGCGGUGGAGCAUGUGGUUUAAUUCGAAGCAACGCGAAGAACCUUACCAAAUCUUGACAUCCUUUGACAACUCUAGAGAUAGAGCCUUCCCCUUCGGGGGACAAAGUGACAGGUGGUGCAUGGUUGUCGUCAGCUCGUGUCGUGAGAUGUUGGGUUAAGUCCCGCAACGAGCGCAACCCUUAAGCUUAGUUGCCAUCAUUAAGUUGGGCACUCUAAGUUGACUGCCGGUGACAAACCGGAGGAAGGUGGGGAUGACGUCAAAUCAUCAUGCCCCUUAUGAUUUGGGCUACACACGUGCUACAAUGGACAAUACAAAGGGCAGCGAAACCGCGAGGUCAAGCAAAUCCCAUAAAGUUGUUCUCAGUUCGGAUUGUAGUCUGCAACUCGACUACAUGAAGCCGGAAUCGCUAGUAAUCGUAGAUCAGCAUGCUACGGUGAAUACGUUCCCGGGUCU
rnacentral:rRNA from 1 species